rnacentral:lncRNA from 1 species
CCUCGCCGGCUGUACUGGUCUAAAUUACCAGAAGGGGCGGCGGCGGGGAUUCUCAUUCUUCCAAUAUCCAGCACACCAUUUCUUCCUUAACAGAACCUCUAGUCUUUCGACCUCUCAUACUCGUCAGACCAUUUAAAACAAACAACCUGACAACACUGAGAUGACAACCUGUCCCCCAAAGUGCAAAAUCAGCAACGAUGCUGGAGAGUCCAGAAAGCAGCCUGCUCUGAUUUUGCAGUGGACUUUCCUGGGGUGCUUAGUUCUCAGCUAGACAAGAAGAUGGCUCCUUCGUUAAACCAAUGGGUCUUGGACAAAAGCCUUGGCAGGACUUGAUUCUCCUCCUGUUGCUAUGCCCACGGCUGCGGAAUCAGCCUCACCAGGAAGGACCAGCCAGAUCCCAGCUCUCUGGAGGAAUCUUCCUCUCCAUCUGGAUCCUGAGGAAUCAUAGAAAACAAAAUGUUGGCUGAAUUCCAUGGGGAAAAAUAAGAAUUUCAGCAGUUUCACCUAAUUCCAU